rnacentral:rRNA from 1 species
AGCGAACGCUGGCGGCAGGCCUAACACAUGCAAGUCGAACGGAUCCUUCGGGAUUAGUGGCGGACGGGUGAGUAACACGUGGGAACGUGCCCUUUGGCUCGGAACAACUCAGGGAAACUUGAGCUACUACCGGAUGUGCCCUUCGGGGGAAAGAUUUAUCGCCAUUGGAGCGGCCCGCGUCUGAUUAGCUAGUUGGUGAGGUAAAGGCUCACCCAGGAGAAGAUCAGUAGCUGGUCUGAGAGGAUGAUCAGCACAUUGGGACUGAGACACGGCCCAAACUCCUACGGGAGGCGGCAGUGGGGAAUCUUGCGCAAUGGGCGAAAGCCUGACGCAGCCAUGCCGCGUGAAUGAUGAAGGUCUUAGGAUUGUAAAAUUCUUUCACCGGGGACGAUAAUGACGGUACCCGGAGAAGAAGCCCCGGCUAACUUCGUGCCAGCAGCCGCCGUAA